CAGGAUUAAGGACCCCUGUUGUUUUACAGGAAGUAAAUAAAUCCUUAUGGUAUUCUGGAAACCUCAGAAGUAUAUAAGAGUGUGUAGCUCAGACGCAAACCACAUGAGUUUGGCCUAUUGAUUUGGAAAUAUGAGACAUGACAAAUCGCUGUUUUUCUAAACUGGAAACCGAAGAAAUUGUACACUUCCUCAAGAAUUACACACUUGAGCUCAGAAGAAGAAUCUCUUAGCCUCAGCCCUACUGGUAUGUUGGGCCAGAAAAUUCUUUGUCAUGGGAGCAUUGCCUGUGAAUGGUAGGAUGCUUAGCUGUAUCCUUGGCCUUUACCUGCUAGACACCAGUUUCAUCCCUGGCAAUCAGAAUUGUCUCCAGAUAAUGCUAGCUGAUGUCUCCAGGGGAAAAAAAAAAUCA